rnacentral:rRNA from 1 species
UACGUAGGCAGCGAGCGUUGUUCGGAAUUACUGGGCGUAAAGAGUGUGUAGGCGGUGCUCUAAGUUCGGUGUGAAAUCUCCUGCUUAACUGGGAGGGUGCGCCGGAAACUGGAGUGCUCGAACGUGGGAGAGGAAAGCGGAAUUCCUGGUGUAGCGGUGAAAUGCGCAGAUAUCGGGAGGAACACCGGUGGCGAAGGCGGUUCUCUGGGCCUUACCUGACGCUGAGGAGCGAAAGCGUGGGGAGCGAACAGG